rnacentral:lncRNA from 1 species
GCGAGAGAUGCAGCGUAGUGAGGGGAGCGCUUCAACAGCAAAACAAAUAGCUAUAUCCCUGAAAAACGGACGGGUUCGUUGUAAUAUGUCCUCGAAUCGUUUUUGUAUCUGCUACUGCGAUAUUUAGCCUUUGUUUUGAUGCAGUCUACAUAUGUAGCCUACACCGGGGAGGUAACUGUAGCCAAGCGAAACAGUGAAGAACAGGCGGCCGGUAGAGGACAGCCGGGGACGCUCAGAGCUACUUUCAGAGAUGUCCCUUCUCUGUGUCAGAGUGAAGAAAGCCAAGCUGGAUGGACCCCAAGGUAGGUGUCCACCCCAAAGUGCUGCAUGUCAUGAAGACCCACCUGCGGACGAGGAACAAGUGAUGAUGGCGGAAGCACUGUUUGAAUCGGAUGGCGCGUUGAGUAAAGUUCAUGGACAUGAGUGGAAAACUAUAACAUUGAAGAAUGGUGCAAAACGGGCUAAAGUUGUUAAUGAAGAUGGGCAUCAGUCUAAUAAUGCUUCAUUCCUUGUUGGAAUACAUUUCAUGGGUAAGGAUGUGUUUUUGGGAGAUCCAUUUGCAGUCAUAGAGAUGGUGGAGGAUGCACUGCGAAAGGUGGAGUCAAUCAAAGUGACCAGGAGUGGUAGGGUGUUGAUGUAUUGUAUGUCCAGAAGAACAAAAGGAAAGUGCAUUGUCUCUGGGAAUUAUUGGAGUGUGAAGUAGAACAAUUUGAUUUUCAGAACAGGCCACCAGUAAAAGGUGUCAUCUCUGGCAUCGCGGUAGAAAUGGAGGCUGAAAAUCUAAAGCACCAGGUACCAGGAAUAGUGGAGGCACAUUGAUUGAACCGUAUGGUGAAUGGAAGGAAUGAGGAAAGCCUACCGGUGCUAUUGCUAUUUGAUGAAGAAUAUCCUCUGACACAUGAAAAGCUGGUGUAUAUGAGAUGCGCAGUGAGAGCUUAUGUGAACAGACCGUUGCAGUGUCUUAAAUGUAAAAAGUUUGUCCACAUGGCAAGUGCGUGCAGACGGAAUAAAUAUGUUGUGG